AGUCGAGCGGACAGAUGGGAGCUUGCUCCCUGAUGUUAGCGGCGGACGGGUGAGUAACACGUGGGUAACCUGCCUGUAAGACUGGGAUAACUCCGGGAAACCGGGGCUAAUACCGGAUGGUUGUUUGAACCGCAUGGUUCAGACAUAAAAGGUGGCUUCGGCUACCACUUACAGAUGGACCCGCGGCGCAUUAGCUAGUUGGUGAGGUAACGGCUCACCAAGGCGACGAUGCGUAGCCGACCUGAGAGGGUGAUCGGCCACACUGGGACUGAGACACGGCCCAGACUCCUACGGGAGGCAGCAGUAGGGAAUCUUCCGCAAUGGACGAAAGUCUGACGGAGCAACGCCGCGUGAGUGAUGAAGGUUUUCGGAUCGUAAAGCUCUGUUGUUAGGGAAGAACAAGUGCCGUUCAAAUAGGGCGGCACCUUGACGGUACCUAACCAGAAAGCCACGGCUAACUACGUGCCAGCAGCCGCGGUAAUACGUAGGUGGCAAGCGUUGUCCGGAAUUAUUGGGCGUAAAGGGCUCGCAGGCGGUUUCUUAAGUCUGAUGUGAAAGCCCCCGGCUCAACCGGGGAGGGUCAUUGGAAACUGGGGAACUUGAGUGCAGAAGAGGAGAGUGGAAUUCCACGUGUAGCGGUGAAAUGCGUAGAGAUGUGGAGGAACACCAGUGGCGAAGGCGACUCUCUGGUCUGUAACUGACGCUGAGGAGCGAAAGCGUGGGGAGCGAACAGGAUUAGAUACCCUGGUAGUCCACGCCGUAAACGAUGAGUGCUAAGUGUUAGGGGGUUUCCGCCCCUUAGUGCUGCAGCUAACGCAUUAAGCACUCCGCCUGGGGAGUACGGUCGCAAGACUGAAACUCAAAGGAAUUGACGGGGGCCCG
rnacentral:rRNA from 1 species